GAAGCGCAUACGGUGGAUGCCUUGGCAGUCAGAGGCGAUGAAAGACGUGGUAGCCUGCGAAAAGCUUUGGGGAGUCGGCAAACAGACUGUGAUCCAGAGAUCUCUGAAUGGGGGAACCCAGCCAGCACAAGCUGGUUAUCUUGUACUGAAUACAUAGGUGCAAGAGGCGAACCAGGGGAACUGAAACAUCUAAGUACCCUGAGGAAAAGAAAUCAACCGAGAUUCCCUUAGUAGUGGCGAGCGAACGGGGACCAGCCCUUAAGUUGGUUUGAGAUUAGUGGAACGCUCUGGAAAGUGCGGCCAUAGUGGGUGAUAGCCCCGUACACGAAAAUCUCUUAUCAAUGAAAUCGAGUAGGACGGAGCACGAGAAACUUUGUCUGAAUAUGGGGGGACCAUCCUCCAAGGCUAAAUACUACUGACUGACCGAUAGUGAACUAGUACCGUGAGGGAAAGGCGAAAAGAACCCCGGAGAGGGGAGUGAAAUAGAUCCUGAAACCGUAUGCGUACAAGCAGUGGGAGCCUACUUGUUAGGUGACUGCGUACCUUUUGUAUAAUGGGUCAGCGACUUAUAUUCAGUGGCGAGCUUAACCGAAUAGGGGAGGCGUAGCGAAAGCGAGUCUUAAUAGGGCGU
rnacentral:rRNA from 1 species